GGCGAACGCUGGCGGCGUGCCUAAUACAUGCAAGUAGAACGCUGAAGGAGGAGCUUGCUUCUCUGGAUGAGUUGCGAACGGGUGAGUAACGCGUAGGUAACCUGCCUGGUAGCGGGGGAUAACUAUUGGAAACGAUAGCUAAUACCGCAUAAUAGUAGAUGUUGCAUGACAUUUGCUUAAAAGGUGCAAUUGCAUCACUACCAGAUGGACCUGCGUUGUAUUAGCUAGUUGGUGAGGUAACGGCUCACCAAGGCAACGAUACAUAGCCGACCUGAGAGGGUGAUCGGCCACACUGGGACUGAGACACGGCCCAGACUCCUACGGGAGGCAGCAGUAGGGAAUCCUCGGCAAUGGACGGAAGUCUGACCGAGCAACGCCGCGUGAGUGAAGAAGGUUUUCGGAUCGUAAAGCUCUGUUGUAAGAGAAGAACGAGUGUGAGAGUGGAAAGUUCACACUGUGACGGUAUCUUACCAGAAAGGGACGGCUAACUACGUG
rnacentral:rRNA from 1 species